GUUGUCGUGGCCGAGUGGGUAAGAUUAGAAAUCGUUUGGGAUUUUCCCGCGCAGGUUCGAUUCCUGCCGACAUCG
rnacentral:tRNA from 1 species